rnacentral:misc_RNA from 1 species
CCGAGUUUACAACUCCCAAACCCCUGUGAACGUACCACUUGUCGCCUCGGCGGAUCAGCCCGCUCCCGGUAAAACGGGACGGCCCGCCAGAGGACCCCUAAACUCUGUUUCUAUAUGUAACUUCUGAGUAAAAACCAUAAAUAAAUCA